rnacentral:rRNA from 1 species
AGCUCCAAUAGCGUAUAUUAAAGUUGCUGCAGUUAAAAAGCUCGUAGUUGCAUUUCCGAGGCAAGGGAUUAGUCCGACCUUUGGUGGGUAUUUAAUCCUCUUGCCUCGUCCUUGAGUGGUGCUUCUUGGUAUUAAGUUAUCGAGGAGAUAGCCGCUCAUCGUUUACUGUGAGAAAAUUAGAGUGUUCAAAGCAGGCUUAUGCCGUUGAAUAUAUUAGCAUGGAAUAAUAAGAUAGGACCUCGGUACUAUUUUGUUGGUUUGAGAACCAAGGUAAUGAUGAAUAGGGACAGUUGGGGGUAUUCGUAUUCAGUUGUCAGAGGUGAAAUUCUUAGAUUUGUUAAAGACGGACUACUGCGAAAGCAUUUGCCAAGGAUGUUUUCA